ensembl:piRNA 21ur-11297 ncRNA
UUUUUGAUUUUGAGAAACCCU